UUGCUGGUGUGGAUGAGUGGCGAACGGGUGAGUAAUACGUGAGUAACCUGCCCUUGACUCUGGGAUAAGCCCGGGAAACUGGGUCUAAUACUGGAUGCUACAUGUCACCGCAUGGUGGUGUGUGGAAAGGGUUUACUGGUCUUGGAUGGGCUCACGGCCUAUCAGCUUGUUGGUGAGGUAAUGGCUCACCAAGGCGACGACGGGUAGCCGGCCUGAGAGGGUGACCGGCCACACUGGGACUGAGACACGGCCCAGACUCCUACGGGAGGCAGCAGUGGGGAAUAUUGCACAAUGGGCGAAAGCCUGAUGCAGCGACGCCGCGUGAGGGAUGACGGCCUUCGGGUUGUAAACCUCUUUCAGCAGGGAAGAAGCCACAAGUGACGGUACCUGCAGAAGAAGCGCCGGCUAACUACGUGCCAGCAGCCGCGGUAAUACGUAGGGCGCAAGCGUUGUCCGGAAUUAUUGGGCGUAAAGAGCUCGUAGGCGGUUUGUCGCGUCUGCUGUGAAAGCCCGGGGCUUAACCCCGGGUGUGCAGUGGGUACGGGCAGACUAGAGUGCAGUAGGGGAGACUGGAAUUCCUGGUGUAGCGGUGGAAUGCGCAGAUAUCAGGAGGAACACCGAUGGCGAAGGCAGGUCUCUGGGCUGUUACUGACGCUGAGGAGCGAAAGCAUGGGGAGCGAACAGGAUUAGAUACCCUGGUAGUCCAUGCCGUAAACGUUGGGCACUAGGUGUGGGG
rnacentral:rRNA from 1 species